AUCAGCUACUACAUACUUACAUAUAGCAUUGUGUCAAAAUUGAAAUUGAACAGCUUCUCACCUUCAACUGAUGCUGUCUGUCUGUCCACCCACUCAUCUAUCCAGUAAAUGGAGAUCCUGAAAUCCCAAGUCAAUUUCUGGCAUAAAAUCGAAGUCUGCCCCAUAAGUGGGAAGGACUGGAUAGGAUCUGAGAUAGAAGUACCAAUUUUAG